rfam:Gossypium hirsutum cultivar TM-1 scaffold4421.1_1, whole genome shotgun sequence
AGUUAAAAAUUUCAUCUAUUUUUAUUGUUAAAAAUUGUCGUGGUUGAUAGAAUAACAAGAUAGUUACACAUGGUGUGCCACGUAUACCCCAUACUGAUAUACAUGGAAUAGUUUUUAACAAUAAAAAUGUCUGACCUUUUAACA